AUAUGCCACUGGUGUGGCCCUAAAAAGCAAAAAUAAAAAUAAAAAAGGAACGAGGGAGAACAUGAAGAAAUCAUGGAAAAAGCAAGUGAAAGUAGGUUUUUCAAAGAGUUUUCAUAGAAAUGGGAUAAACACUGAAUGGGGACUUCUCCAGAAUAGGCUAUGGGCACAGACAGCAUUUGAAUCUCAGGUUUUCCAUGGGUUCACUGGACUGUUUUUAUCUGUUUGUUUGGAUCAGGGAAAGGUUUGUUGCAGAGCCACACAAAGAGACAGGCUAGGGGUCUAAUAGGAGCUUCAGCUGUUGGCCUACACCACAGCCACAGCAGCGUGGGAUCCAAGCCGCAUCUAUGACCUACACCACAGCUCGCAGCAAUGCCAGAUCCUUUAACCCACUGAGUGAGACCAGGGAUAGAGCUUGUAUUCUCAUGGAUACUAGUUGGACUUGUUUCGGCUGUGCCACAAUGGGAACUCCCAUAUUAACAAUAUUAAUUCUUCUUUGGGGUUCCCUUGGGGUGCAGUGGAUUAAGGAUCUGGUGGUGUCACUGCAGGGGCUCAGGUUGCUGCUGUGGUACGGGUAUGAUCCUUGGGCUGGGCAACUUCCACACGACAUGGACACAGCCAAUAUGUGUGUGUGUAUACACACACAUAUAAAUUAUUCCAAUCCAAGAGUAUGGGAUAUAUUUCCAUUUCUUUGAAUCAUCUUUAAUUUCCUUUAUUAAUGUUUUGUAGUUCUCUGCAUAUACGUUUUUCUGAAAGGGAAUGUGAACCAUCCCUUUUAAAAUCGCAUCCAAAAAUAUAAAAUAAAAUACUUUGGAAUAAACCUCACCAAGGACUGCAGGGUUUUGAGACAGGCUACGCCUCCAGCUCUAGGCUUGCGUGUUUGCUUGCUCAACAUUUCCACGUGGAGGUCCGAGAGUCAUGGUCAGUGUAGCCUGUCAAACACAGAAGCCCACAUUUCAGUCUCCCCCAAACGUGCUGAUCACCCCGAACUCCUUCCAUCUCAGCCAGUGACAACUCCAUUCUCUUGCUUUCUUAAGACAAGACUUUGAAGUGACUGUGAUUUCUCCAUUUCAUGCACAGUCCCAGGAGCAAAUCUUUCAGCCUCACUUUGAGAGUUGGCAAACCAUCUUUGUAUUUUCCACCACCUUCACCACAGCCAUCCUGCUCCAAUUCCAUGUGAUCUUUGGCCUAAACUCUUAUCGCAGCCUCUUAACUGGUCCCUGCCUCCAUUCUUGCUCCUUAAAGUCUAUUCAGAUCAUGAAACAUCUCUACUCAGCAUCUUCAAUGGUUCCCCAGCUCAUUCAAAGUGAAAGCCAACGUCCUAACGAUGACUCACAAAGUUCUGCAGGCUCUGGCCCUCUAGUAUCUCUCUGACCUCAUCUCUUCUCAUGGACCCAGGAACAGGCUGUGCUAGACAUUCAAGCUGGCAUGUGGGUGCUGGUGUUGGGCACACAAGCUCUGAACUCUGGCCCUUUCCUCUUAUCAUUUAUUCCCUCUAAGGAUGUUGGAGCGAUACGUCCUCCCACUCCCUCUCCUCUGUCAAGCCUUUGGCAUGUGCAGAGCUCUUCCUCCAGGAAUCCACAUGAUGUAUGACGAGUAUUCAUAUUCCAAUUAGGUCCAUGCCCCGUCUUCACAAAGGCCUUUCAUGACCACCCUACACGAAAUAACAUGAUCAAAUAACCAGGUGUGACUCUUUAGCCACAUUAUUAUUAUUAUUUAUUUUUACUUUUUGUCUUUUUAGGGCCAUACCCCCAGCAUAUGGAAGUUCCAGGCUAGGGGUUGAAGCAGAGCUGCAGCUGCCGGCCUACACCACAGCCACAGCAAUGUGGGAUCUGAGCCACAUCUGUGACCUCCACCACAGCUCACAGCAAUGCUGGAUCUUUAAGGCCAGCAAUCGAACAUGCAUCCUCAUGGAUACUAGUCAGGUUCAUUACUCCUGAGCCAUGACGGGAACUCCCCACAUUAUUUUUAAAUGAAUCUUUCUCACUUGGCAUAUUAUACAUUUAUCCACUAUCAGUUUUCUACAAGCGGAAUGUAAAAUGCUACCAGAGAGCAUUUGUGUACUCUGUUUGGAUGGAUCCUUGAACAGAGACAGACACAUAGCAAACUCUCACCAAACACUUGUUGUGUGAAUUGCAUAGCCGAAUUUAGAGGCAACAUAGCUGCUGGUAAAGAAUGUGGGAUCCUGGGCUGGGAGGACGGAUUUUACUUUGCCUCUGCCUCUUACUUGAUAUGUAAUCCUGGACAGGUUUCUUGGCAUCUCCAUGCCUCAGUUUUCCUAUCCGAGUUUCCUAGAACACAGGUCAUAAUGAGAACAAUUGGUAGCAUUUAAACAGCAAAAAAAGUGGACAUAGGGAGUUUCUGUUGUGGCUCAGCAGAAACAACUCUGAUUAGCAUCCAUGAGGACACAGGUUCGAUCCCUGGCCUCGCUCAGUGGGUUAAAGAUCCGACGCUGCUGUGAGUUGUGGUGUAGGUUGAAGACACGGCUCAGAUCUGGCAUUGCUGUGGCUCUGGCAUAGGCCAGCAGCUAUAGCUCCAAUUCAGUCCCUAGCCUGGGAACCUCCCUAUGCCACUGGUGCGGCCCUGAAAAGACAAAAACAAUUAAAAAAUGUGGCCAUAAAUUCUUUGAUACUCCUUCCAUCCAGAGGAAGGUCUAUGUCCCCUCCCUCUGACUUUGAACAGGCCUAUAACUACUCUGACCAGUACGUUAUGAUGGAAGCAAUGCUUCCAAAGCUUGGUCAUAAGAUGAUCUAGCCUCUGCCUUGCUCACUGGAACACUUACUCUUGGAAGCUGGAGGUGCCAAGUAAGAUGUUCAAGGACUUUGAAGCUGUGAUGUUGUGAGGACACCCAAGCUCCAUGGAGAAGUCAUAUGAGUUGAUGUCUUGCUUUGCAGAUCCCCCUGAGUCCAGCCUUCCAGUCAUCUCAGGCCAGGUGUCAGAUGUGUGGGAAGUGGCAUCCGGAUGCUUCCAGCCCCUGGGAAUUUGGUCAGCUACCUCCAGCUGACGAAGUCUUCCCAGCCCAGGUCUCAGAUAUGGAGUCGAAACUAGUCCUCCUGGCUGGUUUCCUGAUUCGCAGAAUCUAUGACUAUGAGAAGAUAGUUAUUCUUUUAUGCCACUAAGGGUAAACUAGUUAGUUCCAUAGCAAUAGAUAAUUAGAACCAGAACUCGAAGGUGAUUUUGACAACCAAAGAAGUGACUGCAUGCGAAAUGCUUAAAAGUAGGUCAGGGCCAGCCACAGAGUAAGUUGGUCUUCCUCAGUAAGUGUUAGCUUUCAUGAUUACUGUGAUAAAAUUUCUGCUGAUAAAUAUAGGGAUAAUUAGAGGAAUCAUUUCACAAAAAAUACUCUUCUCUCUCCAUCCUUAAAACUUUUUUUAGGGCCGUACCCGACGCAUAUGGAGUUUCCCAGGCUAAGAGUUGAAUCGGAGCUGCAGCUGCUGGGCUCCGCCACAGCCACAGCAAUGCAGGAUCUGAGCCACAUCUGCGAUCUACACCACAGCCCAUGGCAGCACCGGAUCCUUAACCCACCAAGCAAGACCAGGGAUUGAACCUAUGUCCUCAUGGAUGCUAGUUGGAUUCAUUUCCACUGAGCCACUACGGGAACACCGCCAUCCUUAAAACAUAGUAAGAAAAUUUGGAACAGAAUUAAGCAGUUCACACAUUGUAUUAACCCCAAGAUCAGUCUUUACAUCCUUGGCUAGAGACUGCAUAAUGAUUUUCUUACUAAUUUGAAGUCAGAUAUGAUAAAGCUUCUGAAAAACAAAGCCCUCAGCCCCACAACAGAUUUUGCUGUGUGGAGGUCUAGACUCUCGCUCACUUUUGUGCUCCUCUGAGCACUUGGCAACAGGACAAUGCCCAGAGCAGGCACCCCACCAUGUCUGUUUCAUUGAUUUAAUCAAUGCACUCGUGCUCAUUGUCUUCCAGAAACUUCUUGGAACCCACUGCUUUAUUUAGCAUUGUCUCUGUUUUUGCCUUUAAAUUUGCAAUACUUGCUGAGAAGCUGAUUAGCAAUCUCAUAAAAUUUAGAUUGAUGUUUAUGGAUUAUAUGGCCAGUAUUGUUGAGAAUGUACAGCACCGUGUAAACACAAAACUCUUGCACAAUCUUUUCCUGGACUUGUGCUUUUUUGAACUGGGUUCAAAUCUAAACUGAGCAAGGCCACACAGGGCGUUAGAACAAAAAAUGUAAAGCUAGAACGCCCUGAACCUCCUCAAUUGGAGGAGUUGGCCUUGGGGGAGGGAAUUUUAAGGACAUGCUUUUUAUUUCUGGUCACCUGGCAAACCAAUCUAAGAAAACAUACAGCGCAAAUGUGCUUUUCCAGCCACACACAUUGUCUUUGAGAGAAAAACAACUUCAAACAUCACAUAGUGUUUUGGAAAUUAUUUGCUGAAUAUGUCAACAUAGCCCCUGAAAGAAAAGCAGUUGCAUAGUUUUUGGACUCUUCUCAUGUGCAGAUUUCUUCAAUUCUGAAAUAACAAAAUCCUUAAUAUCAUGACUUGGUUGCGUAUUACACUUUUAGAUGGCCUGUUGAAUGCUGUGCCACGAAUAAUUAAAUGUGAGCCAUCUAUGUGUGAGAGAGCAGAUGGAGGAGGAAAAAAUACCAGUAGGAGCAGAGAGGGGCAAUGAGAAAAGUGGGGGGAGAGAAAUACCGAGGCUUAACAGAUAGAGCGAGGGUGGCAUGAGCAAAGCAUAAUCUUCUUUGAAAUGCCUGUCUCCACCAUCUUGAUACAGAGAAUAUUAGGGCUUCUGAGUCAUUUACAGCCAGUACAGUACCCUCUACACAUCCAAGGUGAACAAUAUUUGCAACUGGUUUUUCUCAGUAACACUGAAAUCAGGGCCAAUGGUAUUGCUUAUGAGUGCCUAUUUCUUGUCCCAGUUUGGAAUGUUCCUUUGCUGGGGGUUAUGGAUCCGGAUCACCAUCACGAAUGGAAGAAGUAUGGCCUUGAGCUUCACAUAAGUAACCUAGGGGCCAAAUUUGUCUCAGGCAAGGAAAGCGCACAUCGAUGAAACAGCCAUGAGCAAUGCAUGUAGCUACUUACACUGUAACUUUAUUUUAGGGGCUUGCCCAACAUUCCAACAUUCCAUCUUGCAAAACUCUCUCCUUCAUGGAUUCUCAUUAUUGUCAUUAUCCUCAAUGUGCAACUUUGACUAAACAUCCACACUUGCAGUGGGUGUCAGUGGUUGAACACAACGUAUAUGUUACACGGAGUCCUGGGCUUCUGCCUGCACAUUCUGCCCUUCAUCCUGGCUCCUCUUUCCUGUUUCAUGGAUGAAAGGUUGAGAUGGUUAGUGCCAUACAACUAGUAAAGAAGUGGGAUUUGGAGCUGGAUCUCUCUGACCCUAAAAUCUUGUCUCAUUGUCCAUGACAGGACACAACAUGCUUACUUGGAGCAGUGGGUACUAAGAAGCCUGUCUCUAGGAGCCAUAACUACUACUCUGGUCUUUAGUUUCUAGCUUAAUGUUGGCCAGUGAUCCCAGCCAACAGACCAAGCAGAUUGAAGAAAGAGGCUGGCUUUGACAUCAGCUUGUUGAGACUGGCGCCCCAACCCCAGCUCUGAUACCAUCCCAGUGAAGUCAGCCUGGCACAGCCCCUGCUUGCUGACUGCCUCAGAAUUGUGGUCUAGCCACAGCCAGACACCAUCGGCUCAAGGAACUGGUGAAAAGGCUGGGCACAUGGCUUGGAGGGAAACGGGCCACCUGAAGGCUAUGGGUUUCCCAAGGCUGCCAAGCUUUGCUUUCCUGAAGAGAAGGAAGAUUAAGUUGUUGGCUGUCUUGGUCACGUGUGUGCAGAGUGCCCCCCCCCUUUUAAGGCUGCACCCAUGGCAUAUGUAAGCUCCCGAGCCAGGGAUUGAAUCUGAGCCACAGCUGUGACCUAUGGCGCAGCUGCAGCAACGUCAGAUCCUUCAAUCCGCUGCCGGGCUGGGGAAUCGAACCCAUACUUCCACAGUGACCCGAGCUGCUGCAGUCAGAUUCUUAACCCACUGUGCCACAGUGAGAACUCCCAGAGUGAUGCUUUUUGAUUAUUUAGACAACACUGGAGUAGAAAUAACUCUGAAAUUACUGGAUGUUAUUUCAAAUAUCCCUAGUCCCAGUUUUGUGGGCAAGCUUCCUGGUGACUUCUUUAAGUCAUCCUGGUGAAUGUGUGUAAUACGUAAAACUAUAUUGAGGAGUUCCCGUCAUGGCUCAGUGGAAACAAAUCUGACUAGUAUCCAUGAGGAAGCAGGUUCGAUCCCUGGCCUCGCUCAGUGGGUUAAGGAUCCUGUGUUGCCAUGAGCUGUAGUGUAGGUCACAGACAUGGCUCGGAUCUGGCACUGCUGUGGCAGUGGCGUAGGCCAGCAUCUAUAGCUCUAAUUUGGCCCCUAGCCUGGGAACUUCCAUAUGCUGCAUGUGCAGCCCU
rnacentral:lncRNA from 1 species